UGUGGCUUAGUGGUAGAGCGCUUGCCUAGCAUGUGUGAGGCACUGGGUUCGAUUCUCAGCA
rnacentral:tRNA from 1 species